rnacentral:rRNA from 1 species
GGGGGGGGGGGGGGGGGGGGGGGGGGGGGGCGGGGCGGGGGGCGGCGGGGGUGGCGGUGGCUGGGGGCGAGCGGGGCACGGGUGAGUGACGCGUAUGUAACCUGCCCGCAACAGGGGGAUAACCCGGCGAAAGUCGGACUCAUACCGCAUAAAACAGGGGUCCCGGCUGGGAAUAUUUGUUAAAGACUUAUCGGCUGCGGAUGGGCAUGCGUACCAUUAGGUAGUUGGUGACGUAACGGCUCACCAAGGCUUCGAUGGUUAUGGGUUCUGAUAGGAAGGUCCCCCACAAUGGUACUGCGACACGGACCAGACUCCUACGGGCGACAGCAGUGAGGAAUACGGGUCAAGGGGCGAGAGCCUGAAACAGCCAAGUCGGGUGAAGGAUGACUGCCAUAUGAGUUGUAUACUUCUUUUAAAAGGGAAUAGUAUGAGAUACGUGUAUUUUAUUGCAUGUACCUAGGGAAUAAGCAACGGCUAACUCCGUG